AACGAACGCUGGCGGCAUGCCUAACACAUGCAAGUCGAACGAGACCUUCGGGUCUAUUGGCGCACGGGUGCGUAACGCGUGGGAACCUGCCCUUAGGUUCGGAAUAACUCCCCGAAAGGGGUGCUAAUACCGGAUAAUGUCUUCGGACCAAAGAUUUAUCGCCUUUGGAUGGGCCCGCGUUGGAUUAGCUAGUUGGUAGGGUAAAAGCCUACCAAGGCGACGAUCCAUAGCUGGUCUGAGAGGAUGAUCAGCCACACUGGGACUGAGACACGGCCCAGACUCCUACGGGAGGCAGCAGUGGGGAAUAUUGGACAAUGGGCGAAAGCCUGAUCCAGCAAUGCCGCGUGAGUGAUGAAGGCCUUAGGGUUGUAAAGCUCUUUUACCCGGGACGAUAAUGACAUUACCGGGAGAAUAAGCUCCGGCUAACUCCGUG
rnacentral:rRNA from 1 species